GCUCUCUUUCACGUCUUUCUUUUUCUUUUUGGUUGCUGUACCAGCAGCAUCCGUUCAACCUCUCUCUUUUAUAACCUCGAUAUUAGGGCUUCAUUCAAGAACACGUCUGUUCUCGAAUGUCCCCUAUCACAGCCCGGAAUGAGCUGCCAGUUUACGUCAGAGGCGGGGGGUGGGGCGUGGGUGUUGGGAGGACCAACGAGACGCAGAGUCAGCGCCGCGCACAUUCUCCUCCGAAGACGUGGAGGAGAUGCUGCGUGGAUGCUAGUCAAGCUAAAGCAAUGGCGACUUCUUCCAUACGAACUGGGACAAGUUGACGUGACGCCAGAACGCAGACUUUCACGGCUCGCUCCAGAUUCUUCGUUUGAAAGACGGCAACUUUACAAAAAGGACUCGAAGCUAUUAGGGUGGAUUUACCGUAUGAAUGUGUGUGAACUUACAAGUCCAAUGGCAAAGCAGGCAGAUUUUUGCCACACGAAGGCUUCUUCACAUUGAGCAGAGAGAUGAGGCAAAAGAUGAAAAGGAAGAAGAGGAGGAUUCGGAGUGUGGGUGGAAGGAGGGAUGGAUAGGAGACUUUGCAGGAAGCGGCUGAACCCGGAGCAGGUGAACACAGCUGUGGAUCUCCAUGACGGGCCUCGCUGGCUGCCUUCCUCGCACAGGCCCCCCGGCGUUUGCGUUCGGGGGUCCCGGCAAGCGUACAGAGGCCAGGCAGAGUGGGCAGGCGAGGGCGGGCCCGAGCCAGGAGAGAUGCAGGUGAGGCAGGCGAGCCGAGGCGCCCGUCGCCGCCGGCUAGGAGCCUCCGCGCUGUCAAAUCAAUACAGAGGCUAGCAGAGGUUGGCCAGAACCGCCCGCGGGCCCCUUGGAGCCCUGGGACCGACCGCCAGUUCCCACCUCCAUCUUUUUUUUUCCAGCUUCCUCCAACAGUCCUGGGCCAGAGCCCUCACCCUUGCACCCGCCCCACACAUGGAUGGAUGUUUCGGUGUGGGCUCGGCCCGCAGGGAUUUUUUUUGCCGCUCAAUAAACAUUUUGCCAGUGAGAGGCGGGGACGCCAGAGCGGAAAAGAAGAAGCCAAUAUGUGGGAAAAAGCAAGAGUUUCUUCUCGAUUCUGUUAGGAUUCACAGAGGUGGGGGGCCGGAGGUGGGGGGGGGGGGGGGGAACAGGACGCUAUCCAAGCCCAAGAAAACCUUCAUCUCACGGGCUUGGAUGAAAGGACAACUUCGUCUCCAAUCUGCUGCAUUUUUUUGUUAUUGCUUUAUAUUUCCUGAGCCACACUAAGAGCAGCCGCCUUCAGAGGAUAUGGAAGUGCAGUAUUGAUCUAGCAGGUGGAGCGGAGGAAAAGAUGAGGGAUUUCGCCGCUUCCUCACUGUUUGCAAGCUCAGGUCCACCGUUCAUUGCUAAUGAAUGACUGCUAAUGAGAGCCUACUUUUUCCUUCCUCAUAUAAUAAGACUCUUUUUUUAUUUUAUUAUUUUUUUUUACCUGUAACAAAUCCUAAUGUGAAGACAUGACAUGGGACUUAAGGCAUCCAUCCUGAAAAUCUCAAGGCAGAGUUACUACUUUUCGGCAUGGCGUGGACAGCACAGGGCUUGACAAGGAUGGGGUCCUUGCUGCAUGCACGUGACGAGAAGGGAAGGGAACGUGGACCAUGUGGAGAUGAGGCCACUCUUGGUCGCCAUGACGAUGUAAAGCUGCAAUCAAGUACAGGAACACAUGCAACAAAGUGCGUGCUUUUUAUUUGUCGUCAUGAGAGCAGGUCAAUUGAAGAAGCUUCUAAAAUGUAUUUUGAGGAGUCUUAAGGGGUUGAGCAACCACAUCUGUUUAGAAGUACAGCUAUAAUCAGAAAUCAGUCACACUUUUUCGUUUUUGUUAAGUUAUGAAUAGGCCUAAUUAAAACCAUGUAUUGCCAAAUUGUCUUAUCUAAAAACAAUAAUUAAAUUUGGAUUGGAUUGGAUACAACUUUAUUGUCAAAUGUGUUGUAUGUGUAACAUACACACACACACACACACACACACACACAAACACAGCACAGAUAAGUGACUAUAAUUUUUUUUAAAUAUUUUUUUAAAUUCAUGGAGUCAUGAGAUGUAUUUGUUUUCUUCAGAAACACAUUUUUCAAUUGUUCUAAUAAAUUUAAUUAUUGGGGGAAAUUGUGAUACAUUUUUGCUCUUCAUAAAAAACAAGAAAUACAUUCUUUUUU